CUGUAAGUGUGUAUUACAUCUAAUAGAGCUGUUUUAAUGAAGACGGGUGAGCAUCUGUCUCUCCAUAAACGAUCUUUGUUGUGCGACGUAAUGUCGUGAGACCUUCGAACAGACUCAACUUAAAGCAUAGAGGCCUGUAUCUCAGCAGCGCAUUGGUCAAGCUGGGUGAUUGACACGUCUGUAGAACCGUCAGAGCCAGUGGAAUCGACGGGGAGCGUCAAAGUCCCUCCCAAGGACACCGUUCGCUAUUUGUGAGGGGGCGAACCCACUAUGACACCUUUUUUCCCCGACGCCAUUUGACUUGCGACUUCCGCAUGUGUAGUCGAAGUAGGACGGACCAGGCGGAUUAACAUCUUGAGAUGACGAGGCGGUCUUUGUGCUAAGCUAACGGGCAUUGGAUUUAUGGAUCAAAACACAACUUUUCCUGCAAAUACUUUGACGGAGAGGGUGACAUGCAGGCCUGUCAAGGAUAUUCCAAAGGAAACCCGCAUGUGCCAGGAUUUAAUCAGGAGUUGGUUGCGAGCACUUUCCCCUGGACGGCAGCUUAUCAGCAGAGUUUAGCAUCGUGGCAAAGGGAAACGGGGCGGAAGCUUCCACGCUAAAUGAGAACCAGACGUUCAGCAGACCCAAUCAAGCCGCCCCUCCGCCGAACGAGCCGCAUUGUGUGAUGGGUAAACAGCGAGUCUGGAUGUUGCCUGCGGGGAUCGAGCCCCGUGACAAACCGAUGUCUGAGGAGGAGGAACAGACCUUUCAGGACUUCAAAAACGCAUCUGCAGCAGGGCUGCCAGGACACGUCGGCAGGAAUCACAAAUCCAGCUUCAGUAAUGCUACUCUGUACGUUCUGUACACAAAAGCCCUCAGAGUGACCAUCCGUGUCAGGAGGAGGGAAGCUGUUUUGUUAAGUGUGGCGCAGAGUCACAAUCCCAUUGAGCUGGUGCAAGAACCCUCGAAUGUGCUUGCAUAGUUGUGAGUGCGUCUGUUUCCCCCUACCCAGCCAUGUGCUUUGGAGAACCCUCAGAGACAAAACCACACAUUGGAGCUGUAGCAGGGGGUAGAUGAAGAAGACGAGGAAGGCUCCAGAAUAAGCUCUGCCGGCGCUCCCAGCCAAGACACUCGCCAGAAACCAAACUGGAUGUGGUGAAACUGUCAAAUUACUUAAGGAAACUGCAUCGAAACCUCAGGAGGCGAAAAACAGAGAGGGACGACGAGACUCUGUUUUUUUUUUUCUUCAGUGUUUUGCAAAACAAGCAAAGCAAAAUUAUAUUUGGGGAAGAAUUUAUAAUCCAAAGAGGGUUGUCAGUGUGGAGGCCUGUUAGAGAGCAUAUUUGUCAGUGUUCAUUCACCAUGAUUAGGAUGGAGGAUAAAUUCAGCCUUCCUCGUCCAGAUUACUCUGCAAAAUAUUUGUAGUUUAAAGAGUUAUUUAUUGUGGUGCGCCGGUGGCCCGCAGCACUUUCAAGGCGCUGACCAUGAACUGCAUCUUUAGAUUUCAUCCAUAUGACAGAGCUCUGAUAAAGUCUCGAAUGCUUUUUAAAAAGUGAACCUAAGAAAAGCUGAGAAAGUGUAAGUAUGCUGAAAUAAGCCGUUCUGAUUAGUCUACAUUUUGGCGUGAUGGUUUUGUUGGAGAUGAUAUAUGAAUCUGUAUAUUAUGGGGUUUGCUCGACUUCAAACUCCUUGUUUGCAAAGGGAAUUCUUUGCAACAAGCAGCAAUCUGUAUCCGUGUCCAACGGUCCGUUUCACAGUGACACACUGGUCUUUCCUCACAAUACUUUCAUGCACGGUUAGGGAACAAGCAGGGUUUCCAUAAACAAAAAAACAUGAACUUAACUUGCCAUGCGUGGAUAUUGUUUAGCAAGAGUACAUUGUAAUGGAAUAAAUUAAUAGGUUGUCAGGUUAACAAAAUGUUAGGUUAUAGGAGCGCUUCCUGGAAGUGCUCUUUGGAUGGGAUGCAUGUUGAGAAUGAAAAAGCAAAGAAAACUUAGAGGAAUUCUCCUUUUUCUCUCCAUAGGCAGAGAUUGUUUGGCUGCAUUUUUUCAUUUCUGGGGGGGGAAAUGGUACGAAGACCUUGUUCAAACAUCCUGAAGUGUUGCACUAGUUUCUGAAAUUGCCUCAAAAUGUGCGCUAAACUUUAUGAAAACAAGAGGGCUUUUAUUUUGACAUGGCUGCCUGUUAAACUGAUGUAGGAUGUAAUUUAAUUUAAGAGGAAGAUGUAACAUGAACACUCUGUGUUGAGUUGACACGAGGGAUGAAUGAGCUCAAGGGCUGAGUGGCUCAUUAGGCCGCUAUAAAUCACUGCUAUAUGUUUCAAAUAAAGUGUUACCAUUUGUGACGUGUGUGUGUGUGUGUGUGUGUGUGUGUGUGUGUGUGUGUGUGUGUGUGUGUGUGUGUGUGUGUGUGUGUGUGUGUGUGUGUGUGUGUGUGUGUGUGUGUGUGUGUGCGCGCGCGCGUUUGCCCUUGCACCGUUCUCUGGCUCCACUAAGACUCCAUGCCCAGCAGUUAUAGACAGCAGAGACGGCUAUAACUUCCACUGCCUGCACACACACACACACUACCUCCUCCUCACUCCAUAACAAACAGCGAGAGCUUGGGCCCCCAAGGCUUCCUGUAUCCUACACACAGCCAGCAAAUAAACACAAUCACAUUCAUUUAGCCCUACACACACACACACACGCACACACGAAUGACGGCACACAAACACACACAGCACACUGUGAGUGAAGGAGGACUCAGACCAAAUGGGUAACCACUGCUAUUUCUUCCCUCAUUAAGCCACAAUAUUACAAGCUGACACUCUGAGAGGCCUGUGGGCUUGGACUCGGUGUCCCGAGGUUUCCACUGUCGAGGGGUGAACGUCUCCUUCUGUUACAGGAAAGGGGCAACAGAGGAAUCAGAGGAGAUAACCAGCGAUCCCGCAGAGAUUUAAUGUGCAUAUUUGAGAGGCCGAAUCUGGAAAAUCAAGGGAACCAUGUGUCCACAAGAUGAUUAAGGUCACAGAGAAGCGGAUGACUUCUCUUUUGGCAUCUGUCUGUGUGUUUCUUACAAUCAAGUAUUGAAAUUGCAUGAUUUAUUUUUCCACUCGUGUGUAGGUUUUCCUAUAGCAGCAUUUCUGAAUUCAUCACGGCCUACAAUUAUACUGUUAGACACAGUUUUUUUUUGGUGAUUGGACAGUGAUCCUAAAAAAGCACAGUAACCAAGGAUUUUUUUUCUUCUGAACAGUGUAAUAUUCUUAAUUAGCAGAGUCAUCUGAGCUCAAUCUGAAUAAUACAAUAAUUUCAUGGAAAAACAAAUCCCCUUUUGUUAACAGGAAGAAGAUAUGGUGCAGAACAGGCCGAACAGAGAACAACAAAUGAAGUUACCAAGUGUCUGCUGAUGAGUGUGGGUGAGAUACUGUUUAUAAAUCAUUAACCGCAACAAAUCUGCAACCAAUUUUUAAGUGUUUUUAUUCUGGAUUAGAUGAAUAGGACAUUUUGCAUUUUGGGAAAU
rnacentral:lncRNA from 1 species